UACGGAGGGUGCAAGCGUUAUCCGGAUUCACUGGGUUUAAAGGGUGCGUAGGUGGGUAAGUAAGUCAGUGGUGAAAUCUCCGGGCUUAACCCGGAAACUGCCAUUGAUACUAUUUGUCUUGAAUACUGUGGAGGUCAGCGGAAUAUGUCAUGUAGCGGUGAAAUGCUUAGAUAUGACAUAGAACACCUAUUGCGAAGGCAGCUUACUACGCAGAUAUUGACGCUCAUGCACGAAAGCGUGGGGAUCAAACAGG
rnacentral:rRNA from 1 species